rnacentral:rRNA from 1 species
CUACGGGGCGCAGCAGUGGGGAAUAUUGCACAAUGGGCGCAAGCCUGAUGCAGCCAUGCCGCGUGUAUGAAGAAGGCCUUCGGGUUGUAAAGUACUUUCAGCGGGGAGGAAGGGAGUAAAGUUAAUACCUUUGCUCAUUGACGUUACCCGCAGAAGAAGCACCGGCUAACUCCGUGCCAGCAGCCGCGGUAAUACGGAGGGUGCAAGCGUUAAUCGGAAUUACUGGGCGUAAAGCGCACGCAGGCGGUUUGUUAAGUCAGAUGUGAAAUCCCCGGGCUCAACCUGGGAACUGCAUCUGAUACUGGCAAGCUUGAGUCUCGUAGAGGGGGGUAGAAUGCCAGGUGUAGCGGUGAAAUGCGUAGAGAUCUGGAGGAAUACCGGUGGCGAAGGCGGCCCCCUGGACGAAGACUGACGCUCAGGUGCGAAAGCGUGGGGAGCAAACAGGAUUAGAUACCCGCGUAGUC